rnacentral:misc_RNA from 1 species
UCUCCGUUGGUGAACCAGCGGAGGGAUCAUUACCGAAGUUACCUUCAAAACCCACUGUGAACCUUACCUCUUGCCGCGUUGUCUCGGCGGGAGGCGGUGUGCGUCGCGCGCCCUAGCGGGCCGUGCCGCUCCCGUCCCCGCCGGCAGCGCCAAACUCUAAAUGCACAGCGGACUGUACGUUCUGAUUUACAAAAAAAAAUAAGUUAAAACUUUCAACAACGGAUCUCUUGGUUCUG